GACAGAGGCCUCAAGCGUUAGGCGGAAUCACUGGGCUUAAAGCGUGUGUAGGCGGAUCGUUAAGUGCCUUGUGAAAUCCCACGGCUUAACUGUGGAACGGCUGGGCAUACUGGCGGUCUUGAGCCAUCUAGGGGCGACUGGAACAAACGGUGGAGCGGUGAAAUGCGUAGAUAUCGUUUGGAACGCCAAUGGUGAAAACAGGUCGCUGGGGAUGAGCUGACGCUGAGGCACGAAGGCCAGGGGAGCAAACGGG
rnacentral:rRNA from 1 species